GCGCUCACUUAAGCAGCACAUCUACUAAAAUUGAAAUGAUACAGAGAAGAUUAGUGCAAGGAUGACAUACAAAUUUGUGAAGCAUUCCAUAUUUAA
ensembl:snRNA U6 U6 spliceosomal RNA